CUCAGGAAUGCAAGUCACGAGUCCAAACUUCGUGUCCAACCUCCCACAAGAAAUGAUCCUUUUAUAGGGAACCCGAUAUGUCUCAAUCUGCACUUCACUCAAAGCCUCUGGAUAUAGGGCACUGGUCCCUGCUCAAAAAUAACUCCGCUGAAACGUCUUUCCACCUAAAAAAUCCCCAUGAAUGACUCCCAGGGAAGAAAUGUAUCUCCCAUAAUUAAAGGCGGCUGCGCUCUGAGGCGAAUGAAGCCUGGAGGAAAAGAAGAGAAAGGGGAGGAAAGAAAAAAAAAGAAGGAGCUUCGGGUGCGUGGGGAGAACGUCAGCUCAUGAGGAGCAGAGAAGAGGAGAGAUUAAGGAGCAGAGCCUAACUCCGAGAAAAGAACCGAGCAGGACGGGGAGAGGCCUUUCCUCUGCCUUCCUCUCCUUCCCCUUGCUGCCGGGACAAACUUCCACCAGGAUUAUGCAAAAUCGCGCCCUAAGAGCUCCUGGCCGAUGCGACACCUUUUCCUCCCUGUGCCACGCCGUCCACACACUCAGCAUAUGGGAAGCUCGGCGGGCCCUGCGCCUAUAGGAUCCGGCACCACAUUAGUUUCCAGCAAUAUUUACAGCUCUGCUUUUAAUACACACCAGAUGGUUUGCGACGAUGCUGCCCCAGCCAGUGAGAUCUUGGGGUUUUAUUCAACAGCGUUUUGUUACAAUUAUGCUCCAUGCUCAGACCAAUUUUAUUGGUGACCUUUGUUUUUUUCCCGUAUCUGCGAUAUUUUAUGUUAAAAAAAAUCCCCAAAACCUAACUUCUCUUCAGCCUCUUGGCACAGGGGCAGGAUGGAGAGGAAGGCAGGAGCAGUGGCAGACAGCUCUCCUCAUCCUCAAUAACGAGAUGCUCCUGCUGUGUGUAUACAUGCUUGCACAGAUAAAUAAUACAUAUGCAUAUUUAUUAAUUAUAUUUGAUCAAUAACGCUCAUAUUUGUUAAACCUCAAUUGAGUGCACUCGCCUGCGCAAUAACAAACAUCACAGGGCAAUAAAUAUUGCAUACAGUUAAUUAUUAUGCCAGUGCAUUAUGCCUGGCUCUUCCUAUGUACUCAAGACCCCUCGUAAAACUCCUCACAAACAUAAACAUCUCUCGCAGAUAUUUUGCUGUGAAAAGGAAAAAACUCAGCCCCUUGAAGUCUCUGGCAAUUCUUAAAUAUUUACAGGAGGAAACUGCGGCUAAUAUAUUCCUGCGAUCUAAACACUGUGCUUUUAAGAGAGGAGAGAGAGGGAGAGAGAGUGCAAUCCUUGUCUAGAAAACAUUCCAAGGCUUUUAUUCCACUGCCCGGGAUAUGCUAUCAGAAAGCUACAUCCAGGGUCGCAUUCGUUUUUCUCCUGGA